CCGGUUUGCUCGCUGUUCUACUGUCUUUUCUUCCUACUUCCACCUCCCAGCUUGGUCCACCCGACUUCAAAAACCCAAUUUAAAGGUACCACAACGACUGAAUCUCUAGCAGCCAUAGCAAGAAUGUCUGCGCAAGAGACGGUCUCUGGACAUACAGAUUCAAGAUCAGACUUUAUCGAAUCGAUCACUUCGAAUCCUCGGAGAGAAUUUAGAUUAGGAGGCGCCGUCUUUUCACCAACCAGUCCUUCUGUGUCAUCCAACAACACCGAAGCAUCACAUCCCUGCAAUGCAAGUUUUUAACCGGCAUAACUACUAAAACAAAAUUAAGAUGAGAUGAGACUUGCAUUAACAAAACAGUCGUGGAAAUGAAGACGGAGAAGAGAAG